CGCGGAGUCGCCGGCCAGGAAGCAGCGGGAGAGGUCGGCGAGGCCGGCGGCUGUAGGGUCGGCGGAGGCGAGGCCUCCGUCGUCCAGGAAUCGAAGCACGUCGACCCCGUCCUCGUACGGCGCCGGGUAGCGGUGCUCCGGGGCGAGGCGGUAGUUGACGGAGACGACGAGGGCGUUGAUCUUGCGGCAGAUCCGGCGGCAGAAAGCGUCGUAGGCGCGGGAGGCGGGGGAGAGGUAGGCGAACCCGCCGCCGUGGAAGUAGACGAUGACGGGAAUCCGGCCGGACGACGCAGAACUGGGGACGAAGAGGCGGAACCAGAGGUCACGGGAGGGAUCGACGGGGACGUCGGCCGUGCGGACGCCGUGGCGGGGCUUGGCGGAGGCGGAGGAGCGGGCGUCGAAGAAGGAAAGGAGGCAGCGAUUGAUGGUGCCGUUUGAGCGGCGAGCGCCGUCGGUGACGACGGAGAGCAGAGCGAUGUAGAGCCGCGUCGUCCACGGGAGCGGCGGCGAAGUUAAAGAACGGCCGCCACUCGCCAGCGAGGAGGCCUUUUGCGUCAUUUUAU
rnacentral:lncRNA from 1 species